GACCAUGUGGCCUAAUGGAUAAGGCAUCUGACUUCGGAUCAGGGGAUUGAGGGUUCGAGUCCCUUCGUGGUUG